rnacentral:rRNA from 1 species
CCUACGGGUGGCAGCAGUGGGGAAUAUUGCACAAUGGGGGAAACCCUGAUGCAGCGACGCCGCGUGAAGGAAGAAGUAUUUCGGUAUGUAAACUUCUAUCAGCAGGGAAGAAAAUGACGGUACCUGACUAAGAAGUCCCGGCUAACUACGUGCCAGCAGCCGCGGUAAUACGUAGGGGGCAAGCGUUAUCCGGAUUUACUGGGUGUAAAGGGAGCGUAGGCGGCGAUGCAAGUCAGAAGUGAAAGCCCGGGGCUCAACUCCGGGACUGCUUUUGAAACUGUGUUGCUAGAGUGCAGGAGAGGUAAGUGGAAUUCCUAGUGUAGCGGUGAAAUGCGUAGAUAUUAGGAGGAACACCAGUGGCGAAGGCGGCUUACUGGACUGUAAAUGACGCUGAGGCUCGAAAGCGUGGGGAGCAAACAGGAUUAGAUACCCUUGUAGUC